UAGGGAAUCUUCCGCAAUGGGCAAAAGCCUGACGGAGCAACGCCGCGUGAGUGAUGAAGGUCUUCGGAUCGUAAAACUCUGUUAUUAGGGAAGAACAAAUGUGUAAGUAACUAUGCACGUCUUGACGGUACCUAAUCAGAAAGCCACGGCUAACUACGUGCCAGCAGCCGCGGUAAUACGUAGGUGGCAAGCGUUAUCCGGAAUUAUUGGGCGUAAAGCGCGCGUAGGCGGUUUUUUAAGUCUGAUGUGAAAGCCCACGGCUCAACCGUGGAGGGUCAUUGGAAACUGGAAAACUUGAGUGCAGAAGAGGAAAGUGGAAUUCCAUGUGUAGCGGUGAAAUGCGCAGAGAUAUGGAGGAACACCAGUGGCGAAGGCGACUUUCUGGUCUGUAACUGACGCUGAUGUGCGAAAGCGUGGGGAUCAAACAGG
rnacentral:rRNA from 1 species